UUUCUUUGUCCCAUUUCUUCCCCUCCACUUGGGAGGAAAUGGAAGAAAUGGAGCGAAAGUAAGGUGCUUCGACAAAAUAUGUUUAGUAUUCUUGGUUACUGCUUAACUAUGUAUAAAACUUUUAUACAUAGUUAAGCAGAAAUGGCCUGUGAUACCUUCUAUACACAAAAUCCUAAGAGAAUUGAUGAAUUAUAUUCAGAAAUAUGAGUACUUUGUAGAGUUCCCUUGUCUUUGAGUCUUGAGAUGAAAAUAAGAUGAAUCUUGAUGCGCUUGAACACAAACUUGUACCCAACACUCGCACAUGCGUGCAUGUAAAAUAUUGGUUGUUACUUAACUUGGUGCUCAUUUAUUGGAAAUGAUAUUGCGUACUUCUAAAUCAUUGAGAUGCAUUCAUCCAUUAAGUUAUGACCAUCAUUGGACAAUGAAACUUAAUUGUUUUAAACUGUGACAUUUAUUUUUUUUGAAAGGAAACUAUGACCUUGAUAUGUUGUCUUCAAGCAGCAUUUAUUUCAUAUAGAUAGGUGAAGUAGAGUGGUUAAAGAGGACCAAGUUUGUCUUUGCUCCCUAGUUUAUGAAGAAACCAUCAAGUGCAAAUGUAUACGAGACAAAUGACAGUGGUGGUUUGAGUGGACGCUAUAUUUUUGUUGAGGAAACUAAGAACUGAGUGAAGAAACGGUUUUAUGAAUAAGAAAAUAGGUUUAUGCCUCUCGUUUUUAAUAUAAAUUCGUUUCAGGUAAGCAUUUAGAUCCUUGGAAGUAAUGAAUUGUUUUGUAGCUUCUAUAGGUGUUACUAGCAUAAUGGUAACUAUCCUUGACCAUCCUCUAGGAGUCUAGGACGUAUUGAAUUUGUUUGAGCUUACUAUGCACAUUCUUAUACUCAUAGAUCAAUGUCGAAUGUAUUUAAAACAACCUUUUUUUGGUAAGUAACCUAAUUAAAGCAAGAAAGAGAUGGGAUAUAUACAUCGCACUAUAGUAUGUCCUACUACACUAGGUACCUCAAGAGCUGCUGUUAAACAUCAACUAUAACUUUGAAAAUGAAGAUUACUUGGGAUAAGUCUUUUUUGUAUUAGGAGCUCAGCAAGUCAUUUCACAUGGGAUUUGGUGACAAGAUAGGAGAUCGUCCAGACAGUGAAAUUAUCAAAGCUUCUUUCAUACAACUUGUAUCAGGGUACUUUGCAUUCCUAAAGAUGACCGGUUCCAAUAUUCCUUUUCUUCUGGAUGAUGUUAUUGAUCAUAUUUUUUUAAAUAUUUCUCGUUCUCAGUUUGUACUGAUGGGAGUGUUUAGACCUUGGAGUGUUUAGGCCUUUUGUAGGGGGCAUAUCCCUAGUUCUUACUGCUAUUUGCUGUGUGGAUGCUACUGUUGUCUCUGUUAUGGCGGCUGCUGCUGCUACAUUGUCGGUGCAAUCAGCUGCAAAAUGUUGUUCUGCUGUUCUGUAUUUUCUGUUUUGGCAGCUCUAAUUUGCUAUCUACUACAACCUGUUCUGCUAUCAUGCUGAUGAUAUUUUCUGCUAUUGUUUCUGCUCAUUCACCUCAGUUGAUGCUAAUGUUUGCAAAUCAAAGUAGUUGAUGCCGAUGUUCGAAAUUGCAUUGCAUUGUCUUCUUCCAUUAACAAUACAAUGCAAUUUGGCUAAGUCUGAAAUAGUUUUGGCUGCCCAAGGAAACUAAGAUAAUCUGAAACAUAUUUUCAAGAUUUAUACUUCACAGGUUGCUUAUUAUGGUUUUAUGCGUAAACUUCCUAGUUUCAUGUGCAGUUAUCUCUAUGAUGGCACGUUCAAAGGCCAAAGCUAGGAAAUCAGUAGUACCACCUAUGAAAGUGUAGGUCAAGAAAGGUGCAAUAGUUCAUGAGGGAAGUAGUUCACAAAAGGAGCAACGGAAACCAAGUGGUUUCGUUGUUUAUGUGAAGGAUUUUACUCGAGGUUUAAAGAAAAUAUUUAAAGAAGACAAUAUAAUAAAACAAACAGAGGUGAUGGCAGCCAUGUCGGAAUGGUGGCAUGAUGGAUACUUGCGAAAAAACUGCGAUGAAACCUAUGAGGGAUCAAAUAGUGAGGAAGAGAAUGAUGAGGAAUCGAGUGAAGAAGAGGGUGACAAUUGUCUGCCCUGUCCAAAGAAGAAGAAGAAGAGUAAAAGGGAGAGUAAAAAGGAGAAGAAAGUGAUGGUAUGUCAAUAACUAACGAUGCUUUGUACCGCAGUUAGGAGUUGAAAUGCUUAAUCAUGGGAUUUCACCUUUAUGUGCAUUUAUGUCCAUAUAUAGAUAGUUAUGCCUUUGAAUAUGUAUCCUUUUUCAUUGUGGUCU